UUGAUUGACCUUAUAUGAAGAAUCAUCAACCUUUUCUAUCAAUCUGAGUAAUUUUUGCAUUUGUUUUGGGGUAAAAGAAUUGAAGGUAGCACUGGUGUUGACUAGUUGAGUAGGUUGUAUACCUUUUGGGGCAGAAUCAUUCUUACUAAUGUUGGCUUAAUUCUAGUCAUUUUGCCCUCAUUUGUCCUCAUUGUUGUCAUUCUUUUGUACCAUGGUGGGUAACAAUACAUAGAAUAGCAUUUAUCCACGGUAUGAUUCAUUUUGUGGGAGUAAGAGCAUUGUUUUCCAUAGUUGGGAUUUCUCCCUCUCCUUCUUCCUGGCCCGUGUGACCUAGCACCACGUCCCCACUUCUUCCAUGUUUGUUUUGGUUUCUGGUAGUUGUAUUUAUCAGCCAUAUUUACCAAAAUUUUUGUUUCAGCAUUCUAGUUGGUGGUCCCGGUGUCCUAUCUUUCUUGUCUUUCUUGUUGCAUGAUAAGGGAGAAAAUAGGUUGAUGUUGGGAAAGGGUUCCAUUAGG
rnacentral:lncRNA from 1 species